GCCACCCGGUUAUGAUAUAUAUGGAAAUUUACCUCCGUCUGAUUUUCAAUACGGAGGUCUUCAGAAUCCUUAUUGUGAUUCACAGCUCGGGGAGGCGUUCAGCCGGAAUGUAGGAUAUCCACAAAACCUGAAUCCAGGGACGGACCUAGAAGACUCUCUGUUAGAGAGCGGGUUUCAGAUACCUCAUUGCCAUUUCCAACCUUUCCAAGCUUCGAGAAUUGGAUCGGCGAAUAACACAGACAUAUUUAAUGGCUGGUUUCCUCAAGAGCCAUCGGACUCAUAUCCCUGUCCUGAUGGGAUUAAUAUAGACA
rnacentral:sRNA from 2 species